rnacentral:rRNA from 1 species
AGUGAACGCUGGCGGUAGGCCUAACACAUGCAAGUCGAACGGCAGCACAGUAAGAGCUUGCUCUUACGGGUGGCGAGUGGCGGACGGGUGAGGAAUACAUCGGAAUCUACUUUUUCGUGGGGGAGAACGUAGGGAAACUUACGCUAAUACCGCAUACGACCUACGGGUGAAAGCAGGGGAUCUUCGGACCUUGCGCGAUUGAAUGAGCCGAUGUCGGAUUAGCUAGUUGGCGGGGUAAAGGCCCACCAAGGCGACGAUCCGUAGCUGGUCUGAGAGGAUGAGCAGCCACACUGGAACUGAGACACGGCCCAGACUCCUACGGGAGGCAGCAGUGGGGAAUAUUGGACAAUGGGCGCAAGACUGAUCCAGCCAUACCGCGUGGGUGAAGAAGGCCUUCGGGUUGUAAAGCCCUUUUGUUGGGAAAGAAAAGCAGCAGGUUAAUACCCCGCUGUUCUGACGGUACCCAAAGAAUAAGCACCGGCUAACUUCGUG